rnacentral:rRNA from 1 species
AGCAGCAGCCGCGGGAAUACGUAGGGUGCGAGCGUUAAUCGGAAUUACUGGGCGUAAAGCGUGCGCAGGCGGUUGUGUAAGACAGGUGUGAAAUCCCCGGGCUUAACCUGGGAACUGCGCUUGUGACUGCACAGCUAGAGUAUGGCAGAGGGGGGUGGAAUUCCACGUGUAGCAGUGAAAUGCGUAGAGAUGUGGAGGAACACCGAUGGCGAAGGCAGCCCCCUGGGCCAAUACUGACGCUCAUGCACGAAAGCGUGGGGAGCAAACAGGAUUAGAUACCCGCGUAGUCCCUGUCUCUUAUAC